UAAAUUUUUUAAAGCAAUUAAGGGCACAUGGUGGAUGCCUUGGGUCUGAGAGGCGAUGAAGGACGUGGUAAGC
rnacentral:rRNA from 1 species